UGUUUUGGUUGGUAUUCGAAUUAUUUGUUGUAUUUGGUGAAGGCUGAUGUUGAAUGAUAUGGGAAGGAAUCGAUCCGGUGAUGUUCAACGUGGUUAGCAUGGAAGUGAAGUGAUAUCGAGGAUUAAUUGAUAGUGGUGGAGUAGUCAUGAUUCAGCAGAUCACUGGUGCACGAUGUAAUGUGAAGUGACAGUAGCAAAUGAGAUGGAAGACCACGGGAAUGAAGACAAGGGUUGGUAGGUGGAUGAAUUUCACAAGAUAAAGUAUAUAAUUAUGUCAAGUUAUAGAGAAACCCGAAAAUGUUUCAUUACAAUCCACAAAGAAUCUUUAAAAGUUUCAUCAAGAACACAUCACAUUUCGAAACAUCUUCAUAGAAACCUAACUAGGGCACCAUUGAUGCAAACAAAAGGAAUUCUAGAAGAGAAAAAAGAAACGAUGAAAGGGCACUCUGCAGAGUCUCCAAUUCAGUAUCUGAAGACAGCAUAUCAUUUUUUGCUGGACAAAGGUGCCAAAUUUCUUUUUGUGAUAGUUGGCCUAGAUAGGGAUUUCUUUUGUUUAAAAGUGGUGGCCAAGGUUUAAAAACCAUGUUCUGAUGAGAAGCAAAUUGGCCAGUCUUGGAAGGAGGCAACAUGAACUUGUGAAUGGAAACUCUGCUUUGAAGUAAAAUUGCACCAUAGAUUCUGGUACACUUUUGUCAGAAUUUUAUGCUUUCUAUUUCCCUGGACUUCAUGCAUCAGUAAUGGGCCUAACAGGAGCAUGUGACUACUUGGCUGGUGGAAAUCUUUGCAUCCAUUUGCUCUGGUUUGAGUAUGGUGCAAAGCGUGGCAGUGGGUGAUGCUGUUGCAGAAGCCACAGUUGAGAGUGAAAGUAAUGUUCCAGCUGAAACCUCCUUGACCAAUAUUUUAGGCACAAUUUAAAAGGUUCUAGAAUUCUGACAGAUGUCGGACACCCAGUUUAAGGAAAAAUAUGAAUAUAUGAUCAUUAUGGAUAUCAUGAUUUCAGUGGCAUAUCAUUAAAUAGAAUGAUAAGUUCUGUCUUUUUCACACAAAUAAUAUCUACAUACAUUUGUUAGCUUGAUAAUCCUUUGCAGUAUCUUCUCUUUCUCAUGAGAUAGAAGACACUCAUGAUGCUCGAAUAAUGAUAUAAAUUGAUUUUAUAAAUUUCUAACCAGACAAGUUUUCUGAGUUCCUGCAUGUAUUUUUUUCUGCACUGAUGGUACAUUGCUCAUGGCCAUUAACCUUUUUUUUUAAUUAUUUAAUCACGGUUUCUGAUUCUAGGAUGCUCUUCAUCCUAUGUUUGUUCAAUCUCAACAUACUGUUUCAUCCUUGUUUGACUAGAUUUCAUCCAAGAAUUCAAGCACUUGUUGGUUCUGUGGUCUUAAUAUAAUAUUUUGUGACCGACCAUGAGCCUCUUGUCUUCCUGUUUUUCAGGUGAAGUUAAGAGAAUUGUCUCAGGUAUUAAACAGCUUCUUCUCUGAACAAAUGCAAGCUUUCUGUUUCAUAUGUUGCUUAGACUGUUUCCGGUUUUUUUUUUUCCUUUCUUUUUCCUAAUGCAGAGGUCUUAGGUUGACAAUUGACUUAUUGUUUUUGUUCUUCAUUGCAGAUUGGUUUUUGGGUGAGGCAGAGACUCCCACCUUCCUGUUCUUUUUUGUUUGCAUAAGCUAAAAUAUUCUUG
rnacentral:lncRNA from 1 species